UACGGGGGGGGCAAGCGUUGUUCGGAAUUACUGGGCGUAAAGGGCUCGUAGGCGGCCAACUAAGUCAGACGUGAAAUCCCUCGGCUUAACCGGGGAACUGCGUCUGAUACUGGAUGGCUUGAGUUUGGGAGAGGGAUGCGGAAUUCCAGGUGUAGCGGUGAAAUGCGUAGAUAUCUGGAGGAAUACCGGUGGCGAAGGCGGCAUCCUGGACCAACACUGACGCUGAGGAGCGAAAGCCAGGGGAGCAAACGGG
rnacentral:rRNA from 1 species